GCCGAAGUGGCGGAACUGGUAGACGCGCUGGAUUCAAAAUUUGUUGCCUUCUGGCGUAGGGGUUCGAGCCCCCUCUUCGGUACCA
rnacentral:tRNA from 1 species